AACACACACACACACACACACACACACACACACACACACACACACACACACACCCUUUCUUGUACAUCAAUCAAUGAAACUAGCCGGUGUAAAACCAGGAGAUGGCGUGCAUCAUCUUCCUCCAUCGUUGGGUUUUGAGAGCCUCUGUCUCUUCCUCGCUGCAAACACUGAACUGUCAAGGGAAAAAGAUCACACAAAGUUUAAAAAAACAAGACUGUAUAUUUUUCUCCGUUUUUUUUCCACAAAUGCAACGCUCUCUGUAUUUAUAAAAUAUUUUCUAUAAGCCUCCAUGUUUACACUAUUCCGCUGCAGAGGUGUUGGCUGAGACUUCUGUCACUGUGCGUUAAAUAAAGUUUCUCUUUAAAUAAGUGAAGUCAGGUGACAGGUUCUAAGAAACAAAUGUCUCUCCGUCAGCGGUCUGUAGCUAAAAUACCUCUGUACGUGUCUCUCUUCUCCCAUGAUGCUCUCGGACCCAAACAGGUCUCAGAUUCAUCACUGCGUUACAAAAACAAAUGGGAUUUAUUUUCUUCUGUUUUUAAAAAGUGAAUUAAUAAAAUGUUAUCUGGACGUAUA